AGGUGGGAGACUUCAUACUCUUGAAGGUAUCUCCUUGGAAAGAAGUGAUCCGAUUCCGGAAGAGGGGCAAGCUGGGACCCCGGUACAUGAUGGGUUUUGGUCAUAAGACAUCCUAUGUGCUCAUACAAACCCUAAAGCUUGGAUCUAGGUUUCUCUAUUGUACAUACUUUGAAUCCAAGACUAUAAACCCUAAUUCUAGCAUAUGGAAAUCAGAAUUAACAUAUAAAUGGGUUUAAGAACAUACCUUGAUUGUUAUAUAGCAAUAACAAUCCUAAUCCUCCUUGAAUUGACCUUGGAAAGCUGAGAGUCACAAGUGUCACUCCUCUAAUGGCUUACAAACACCAUAAGCAAGUGGAGAAGGUAUAAAGAGAAAGGAGGGAGGUUAGAAUUCGUCCUUAGGACCUCUUGGGAAGGGUUAGACGAAUUCCUAAGCCCUAGGGGGUUUAUAUAGGUGUAAAGAUUAAGGUUUUAGUCCUUAUCCUUAUCUAGUUGCUUGUCCACCAAGCAACCAUAAGAUAAGUCCUAGAAACCCUUAUCCUAGUCGAAUUCUAAGGGAUUUACACCUCAAAUUCGUUCACCAUAUAUAUAAGAUAAUCCUUACCUUAUUUUGUAACUAUCACAUAAUUACAAUUCAGCCCCUCUAGUUUAAUUAAUUACACUUGAUCACAAAAUUAAUUCUUAAUUAAUUAUUGACCAAUAUUAAUUAAACAAAUAUGAUUUCUCCUUUAAUAUAUUAUUCUUAUAACAUAUUAAUAAAUCAUAAUAACCUCUCUCUCUAUUUAUUUCUCCAAUCAAGUUGCUUUGGUGAAGGCAACCCAAAAGGACCAUGCACCAUCGGGUCAAGUACAUACCAAAAUAGUUAUGGACUUAGACACUAAUCCAACAGUCUCCCACUUGGAUAAGUCUAACAACUAUUCUGCGUAUGACUUCGGAUCCCGAUCUGCAAUCGUAGCUUUCCAAAGCCGCUGUCAACUCUGAUCAUAUCAGAUACGCGUGUCCUUAGAUAAGGGAUCAUAUAUUCCUCCAUUCUAGAUAUCAUAUGAGAUAUGAUUUCAAAUCAUUCUCUUUGUACUAUAUCUCGAUUUCCGAUUUAUGACGACUGACUAAUUGAACAAAUCAAAUUAGCCCUAGCCCGGCCGAGCAUUUACGUUUGUCAUCACUAAACCAUCGAGGGGCCCAAAGAUAUCGCUUUUAUCCUACUUUGGAUAAAAGGAACGGAUAAACUUUGAUACAAUGCUUGCUUGCACUCACUCACCGAAUCACACACAACAAUAUGUUUUAUAACACCAAGUUACUAGUGCGUUUACAUAUUAUCAAUGUGCAACCGAUUUGCAAGAUACAACUCACACAUCUCGGUUUCAAGAAUAUAAGAUGUUAUCGUCUCACCAAUCACUCGUGAUACAAUUCAUGGAGUGAUCCAAGUGAGCGUGGGUUUAAUCCAAUGCUCAAAUCAUAUUCAUAAGCACUCAUGAACGUUGCAGCAAACAUUUGCUUAUGUCUAAUACUCUUUUAGACAAUCCACACACCAAUUCACGACAGUCUUCAUUCAUAUCUACUUCCAACAUAUGAACGACUGUGGCCCGUUUGAAUAAUUCGAUUAUUCUUAAUAAACUCAAUUAUUCUGGAAGUCAAAACAUGCAAAUGUGAAACACAAGAAUAAUACUAAUCCCAUAUGGCCUCAAACCUUUGAGUAUAAAUAAAACACCUUUUAUUUAUCACCAUAUUGAUUACUCAUUAUUUGUCGUUUCGGGUAAUCAACUUCUUACUUGAAUUCCAACACUUGUCCCAUGCUCCUAGCAUGCACACAAUGUUUACCUAUGGUUCUUACUUUGUGAAAUAGAUCACAUUGAACACAUUUCCAAUCCUUCUCAUUUCACAACUCCAAAUCCGUUUUUCAUAAGUCAAAGAAUAUCAAAUUCUUGCUACUUAUAGAAUAUGCUAGAUUCUAACAUUCUAUGCAACUAUCCUUUCGUAAUGUCACUGCACCAAAGUCACAAAGACUAUUGCCAAUGAUAUUACAAAGUCCUCUAUCGGAGAUUGUUACAAGACAAUUCCAUAGACGUGAUGUCUCUCACUCAAAGUACAUUCUUUGAACAUCCUUUUGCAUAGAAGUUUCUAAUCUAGUCAUAGAUUUCUCAAUAUUCAAUUCCCAAUAUGGACACACUUCCAUAUGUUCCAUAUGACAACUCAUUCUUAAUAGAAUCUUAUCUAUUCGUAAUGAUGUCGAUAUGGUCCAUCCAAUAUGGAAACAUUUCCAUAUUUUCCAAUACUAUACUUCCAACUACUCACAAGCGACCAAUCCUCGUCGAACUUUGGAUUGUCCUUUGAUAGUUGUUUAAUUAUUUUAGUCAAAACCAAUUCUAGUCCCUUUUCCCUCUAAAUGCGCUCGACAUUUGGAAAAUUUUAGAAUGGUCAAACAUUAAAGCAUUUGCAAUCGAUCCUAUACCCGAAGCGUAUGGGACACGACGCAUAAUGUUUUAUUUGCUAUGUUCUCAAAAUUCGAAUUGUGAAGAGGGAUGCCGUAAUCAUAAUCGAAAUUUUAAGAACACACUAUGUACCUUUGACUAAAUUUAUUAACAUUUCUCAACCUAAUCCUUUAGAUUUGAAAUGAAGCAUAAUAUUCUCUCCCUUAAUUAUAGCAAAACAACCUUUCAACUCUUACAACUUUGCAAAGUAUGACUCUUGUUUUCUAUAAUUAAUAUUGCUAACCUUGCAAUACUUUCCUUAAUAAUCAUACAAUCAUAACAUUUAUGCUCCCACUAUCAUGAUGAUUAUUAUAAAACAUAACACUUAUGCUCCCACUAGCUUCGACAUGUAUUCAUAAACAUCUUAACUUUCAGAAAAACAAUACUUAUUGAAUUUCUUAAGUUCAUGUUUCUAAUACUUAGUGCUUUGAUAAUCUUUUAUCAAGGCUUCUUGAACUUAUACACCUUUGCCUUCGAUAGUUCAUAUGUGUGUCUAAACAAUUAAGACUAAUUGCCAAACCUCACAAUUCAAAUUAUGGAAAGGGAUACCGUAACCAUAAUCGAAUUCGAGAAUGCAAUUUUACAAUCACUAUCUUCUUAAAAUCUUUCUUAGUGAAAGCAUUUCCUCACAAUCAUUUUCAUGAAGGAGGAAAUCUUAUGACACUUAGAUUUAAACGGUGUAUGUGUUCCUAUCCAUGUGAAUUUGUUAAAACCAAAGUUUACGACAAAUUCAAACUCAUAUGGACCGAACUUUCUUAAUCUUGAUUUCUUGCCUUAUGGUAGCACAGCUGCCCACCAUGUCUUCCAAGUAGUUAAGCAGCUCACCCUUUCCUAUCAAUGUACCUUUCAUUGAUUAAGGUGCUUUGCCUUUUAUGCGUUCAAAAUGAGAACUCAUAGAACUCACAUGCAUAAUUAACUCGAUUGGAUUGGCACAGAAACAAAAUAAUGUCAACACGAUAGGUUGUAAACCUCAACUCGUGUGCUAGUGAUGAUCGAUAAGGUUUAUUUGAUUUGUUCUUGAAACCUUUCAAGACCAUUAAGACUCCCACUGACUCCUUGACAUAUAAGAUUCUCUUGUCAAUAAACAUUUCUUGACAAACAAAUAUUCAAGAGUUAGUGUAGCUUUUAUCAAAACACUUCAUAAAUUGGUCCUAGUUGGUCUUUGUCUUAUCCAAGACAUCACAACUUUCCACAUUUGAUGAAUGUUAUAAACCUUCUUAAUACUUUUCACUCAAUGUCACAAUCUUAACUCUAAGACUUGUUUUGGAACGAAGUAUGAUUGACUUCUUGAUUUAACCAUUUCUUCAAUUCUUGAUUCCUCUUCUUAGACAUACAAUUGUACUAAGACUCACUUAGAGGAUCAAUUGAGAUAUGGUUCUUAAUCAUUAAGACCUAUCAUAAAGCAUAAAAGGUACUCUCCCUUCUUCUUAGAAUGGAGAAACUUUUAUCUUUCUGCCUACUUGAUUCUUCUUAUUCGUUCUGCUAUUGAUUUAAACUUUUUCAAUCAAUUCAGAAUUACACUUAAUCUUGUAAGUAUAAUCAUAUUUACUAAACCUUUAGUAAAUCAUGACGAAUAUCUUUGUUACUCUUAUGGUGGACUUGAUCAACACGCAACUUUGUGUACUCGAUCUCCUAGUCCUUCACUUGACACUUUGUCAAUGAAUUAGUCUAAUUUCCAAAUAUGAAAUUUCUCAUUCAUCGUGCAACCAAGUUGCAUGAUUCCAAGUUUCUGUCCAAUUGAAACUUGGGCGAUGAGAAACUCUCCCUAUUUGGUAAACUCUCGACUUUCCAUAAAUAACAUAAUAAGAACCAAAUCCAUUAUUGCUAAUAAUAGAAACAUUCAAACAUCAAUUUUUCAUAUACGCCAUUGCAAGGAUAAAUAAAUAAUAUAAAAUCAAAAUUUAUUUUAUUGCGGAAAAAAUUUGUCCUUACAAUGCAAUUCAUUGAAAAACUAUGCUAAUACAUCUUUCUUAGCAAUCUAAUUCUAACUCUAAGUAGUAGCUCAAGAAUCUAAUCUUCGAGAAAUGCGAUCGAAAUCCAUUCCUUCACGGUUAGAUUCUGCUCACUUCUUCCCUUAAGCUUCCUUUCUUUUCUUCGAUCCUACAAAACAUCAAUUGUAAUCUUAUCACAUUAUGUAUUAAGAAUCUAGAAUAGAAGCUUAAAAGAGUUAGUUAAUGGAUUUUACCUAUAUUAGAGCCAUACGUUUCGACUCUCCCAUCUCUUAGAUCUCUUAGGUAAAUGGGGCAGCUUCGUCUCCAAUGCCCUUUCUCUUGGCAAUAAAAGCAAAUUGACUCUUUUGGAACAUGACAUGGAACUACUUCAGACAUUGCCUUUCUCUUAUGAUCAAACUUUUCGAUCAUAGCAUGUCUUUCGUUGCCAUUGUCUAUAUCCAUAGAGGUCUUGAAGGCAGAUUCACCAAUCAACUUUGCUUUUCUAUUGCGCCAAACCAUUGCUGAUUCAGCAGCAAUAAGCAUAUAGGUGAGAUCUAUAAGGGUCACGUCGCGGUUCAUCAUAUAGUACUCUCUUACGAACUCACUAUAUGAGUUAGGAAGUGACUGAAGAACCCAAUCAACAGCCAUUUCCUCACAGACAACGGAUCCCAACAUUCUUAACCUAUCAAUGUGUGACUUCAUCCCUAGGACGUGUGCACACACCGACUUUCCUUCUUUAUGUUUACUUGCCAAAAGGGCUUGAGUGAUCUUGAACUUUUCAAGCCUUUGAACUUGUGGGUUAGGGAGAAUAAUUGGAGGAGGAGGAGGAAGUGAAGCAUGAUUUCUUGUUCCUCGAUCGAAUCGUGGAAUAUCAUCUUCAUGUGGAAUGCUUGUUCCACGGGAUUUGGGAAGACCAUAGUUGUCGAACUUUGACAUCUACAAAACGGGAGAAAACGAAUUCAAGUUAGUUGAUUGAUUGAGUCCUUAGUAAAUCACCCAAAUGAGAUACUAAGGCUAGGACCCAACACAAUAUUCUACAACUCGGGAGAGGGAUGCCGUAACCCUAAUUGCAGAAUAUUUGAAGGUAAGUGAAUGACGAUUCACUAAUUUCCACCAUGAAAAACGAAAAAGAAAUUUAAGUUUUAAAUCUAUGAAAACUCCUAGAUCCUUUGAGAUUCAUUGAACUUUCAAUGGCAUGUUUAAAUCUCGAUAUGCCCCUCUUGUUUGUGACUGGGAUGCCGAGGAUCACAAAGCGGGUGUGAAUAACCAUGCAAACUUACAUGGUGCCCUCACAUGUUACAGUCACCUAUUCGAUGUGCCGGUAAACCACACACGCUCCACCGAACUAUGACAAACAUUGAGUCACCCUUUGCUACCUUUGCUUAGAACCAUUUAGUGUGCCGGUUAACCACACACGCUCCACUAACGUCUUCGCAAGGGCACAAAGUGUAAUUUCAUGGAAUUGCAUCAAUUCACUUUUGCCUAAGUAACUAAGAUUGGGAAUUUUAUGAAAACAUUUAGUUACUUUAAUAAUUCAUUAUACUUAUAAUGGAAGGUUUCGUCCUAUCCUACCCGUUCGGCUAACGACCCUCCACUAGUCAAGAGUGCGGUGGGUAAGAGUGGAUACCCAUUCAAUCGCCAUUUUAUAGGCAAUUUCCUUAAACACCCCUUAUAGACCAGCUUCGUGAAUGAGGCCUACUAACGGUAAGACUGACUUUUACUCAUACAUAUAUAUAAUGUUAGACUUUUAAUGUUAUAUAUAGUAUAGGGUGUAUUUUAUACUUUUAAAAUACUAGGUGGUCUAAUUUAACAAUUAUACUUUUAAUUCAAUUAAAUUGUAAACCUAAACUUUUAUGGAUUUAUUAAACCUCUUUUAAUUAUACACCUUAAUUAAUUAAUAAAACCAUAAGGGUGUGAUUUGAACUUUUUCAAAACUAUACUAGAGUUUUAGAAUUUAACAUUCCUAAUUAAACUUUUAAUCAACUUUUAAAUUCCAAAACUUGAGGGCAAGUUUUGAAACAUUUCAACACAUUAGGGUUUAGAAUUUAAAUAUGCAUCAAAAUUAAACUAUUUAAUCAAAAUUUAAAUUCCAAAACUUGAGGGCAAGUUUUGAAACCUUUUUCAAAACAUUAGGGUUUCAACUAUUUAAAUUUCAAAACAACAAAACUUUUGGGGUUCAAAUUUAAACUAUAAAACCUAAAGGGCCAAAUAUGAAACUUUUCACAACAACAAGGAUCAAAUAACAAAUAAUUCAAAUUAACAUUUAAUCACAUAAUUAUCCAUAUUUGAUGAUUUCUUGCAAAAUAAUUUAUCAAUUUACUUAAAAUAAUUAAUCAAUUAUCUUAUAAGGAAACAAUUAUCUUAUUAAUUGAUAAAUAUCUUCAAUUAGAUUAAAAAUAUAGUCAAAUAUAUCAUAUAAUCGGAUUAAUAUUAAUCUAACAUGAUAAGGUAAUUAUCCCAAUGCAAAAACAGCAAGAAAUCCCGAGAUAAGCACUGUCUGACGCACCGACUCGCCGAGUCACCCUCUGGAACUCGCCGAGUAGGGCUGACUCGCCGAGUCCAAGAGUGACUCGCCGAGUCAGGUCGAACAGUGAGGCCAAAACACGAUUUUCAGUUACAUCAAGCAUCAAUACAAUAGAAACCAAUCAAGGCUCUGAUACCACUGAUGGGUUUUGGUCAUAAGACAUCCUAUGUGCUCAUACAAACCCUAAAGCUUGGAUCUAGGUUUCUCUAUUGUACAUACUUUGAAUCCAAGACUUUGAACCCUAAUUCUAGCAUAUGGAAAUCAGAAUUCACAUGUAAUUAGGUUUAAGAACAUACCUUGAUUGUUAUAUAGCAAUAACAAUCCAAUUCCUCCUUGAAUUGACCUUGGAAAGCUGAGAGUCACAAGUGUCACUCCUCUAAUGGCUUACAAACACCAUAAGCAAGUGGAGAAGGUAUAAAG
rnacentral:lncRNA from 1 species